UUGGAGGGCAAGUCUGGUGCCAGCAGCCGCGGUAAUUCCAGCUCCAAUAGCGUAUAUUAAAGUUGCUGCAGUUAAAAAGCUCGUAGUUGAAUUUCGAGACCAUCAUGUCGGUCGUGCUUCGGUACGUACUGGUAUUGUUGGUUUCUCCCUUCUGACGAACCAUGAUGUCAUUUAUUUGGUGUUGUGGGAAAUCAGGACUGUUACUUUGAAAAAAUUAGAGUGUUUAAAGCAGGCUCACGCUUGAAUACAUUAGCAUGGAAUAAUGAAAUAGGACGUUUGAUUCUAUUUUGUUGGUUUCUAGGAUCGACGUAAUGAUUAAUAGGGAUAGUUGGG
rnacentral:rRNA from 1 species